GAUGAACGCUGGCGGCGCGCCUAACACAUGCAAGUCGAACGGCACCCCUCCUCGGAGGGAAGCGAGUGGCGAACGGCUGAGUAACACGUGGAGAACCUGCCCCCUCCCCCGGGAUAGCCGCCCGAAAGGACGGGUAAUACCGGAUACCCCGGGGUGCCGCAUGGCACCCCGGCUAAAGCCCCGACGGGAGGGGAUGGCUCCGCGGCCCAUCAGGUAGACGGCGGGGUGACGGCCCACCGUGCCGACAACGGGUAGCCGGGUUGAGAGACCGACCGGCCAGAUUGGGACUGAGACACGGCCCAGACUCCUACGGGAGGCAGCAGUGGGGAAUCUUGCGCAAUGGGGGGAACCCUGACGCAGCGACGCCGCGUGCGGGACGGAGGCCUUCGGGGCGUAAACCGCUUUCAGCAGGGAAGAGUCAAGACUGUACCUGCAGAAGAAGCCCCGGCUAACUACGUG
rnacentral:rRNA from 1 species